CGGCCCGGCCCCGCGCUGCCCUCGGCGUCCCGGCCAGCCGCGGCCUUUCGGAGAUUCAAAACUGUUAACCUGGAGUCAGCCGGGUGUAAAUGCUGCGGAUGAGACCUGGAAACGUCGGCACUGAACGCACAAGGACGGGCCGGAUGUACUUUAUUCUUCUAGAGCACUGCUCCGUAAUUCCGCGAGGUGGGAACAAGGUCAGCGCCAGUAUGAGCGAAGAACUAUUCUGUGCUACAACUAACCAAAAGAUUUUUGAGACAUAUUUGAAAUUACCUGAUGAUUCCUUCUGCCUGGGUUAAAGAUAUUUUUCAGCAGUGAACCCGAUCCCACAGGGAAUGACAGAGGAUCUGCUGUUCCGCUUUCCUGAUGGUCGCUGCACAGAGCUGGCCUUUGGCCUUGCCUACAUUUCUCUAAAUAUCCUGCUAUCAUCUAGUCCACUACAGGAAGAAAUACAAUCGAGAUCUCCCAAGUGUUGGUGCGGUGCUUCAUCCCAGGCAGUCCUUCCCCUCCUAAAGCAGUCCUUUCAGGGCAGCUGUGCGGGCAAGCAGAAGUUGCAUACUCAUUUUCGGGUGGUGGUUUCCUCCUGGGCCUGCUGUUGGGAAUAUAUCUGA
rnacentral:lncRNA from 1 species